AGCAGCCGCGGUAAUUCCAGCUCCAAUAGCGUAUAUUAAAGUUGUUGCAGUUAAAAAGCUCGUAGUUGAAUUUCGGGAUCAAUAUACCGGUCGUGCCUCAGGUAUGAACUGGUCUUAUUGGUUUCUCCCUUCUGACGAACCAUGAUGUCAUUAAUUUGAUGUCGUGGAGAAUCAGGACUGUUACUUUGAAAAAUUUAGAGUGUUUAAAGCAGGCUAACGCUUGAAUACAUUAGCAUGGAAUAAUGAAAUAGGACGUUCGAUCCUAUUUUGUUGGUUUCUAGGAUCGACGUAAUGAUUAAUAGGGAUAGUUGGGGGCAUUAGUAUUCAAUUGUCAGAGGUGAAAUUCUUGGAUUUAUUGAAGACUAACUACUGCGAAAGCAUUUGCCAAGGAUGUUUUCAUUAAUCAAGAACGAAAGUUAGGGGAUCGAAGACGAUCAGAUACCGUCGUAG
rnacentral:rRNA from 1 species